UGGCUCAGGAUGAACGCUGGCGGUCAGCCUAACACAUGCAAGUCGAACGGGUUCUUCGGAACCAGUGGCGGACGGGUGAGUAACACGUGAGAAUCUGCCCUCGGGAGGGGGACAACCGCUGGAAACGGCGGCUAAUACCCCAUAAGCCCACGGGUGAAAGUUCCGGCGCCCGAGGAGGAGCUCGCGUCCGAUUAGCUAGUUGGUGGGGUAAGAGCCUACCAAGGCGACGAUCGGUAGCUGGUCUGAGAGGAUGAGCAGCCACACUGGGACUGAGACACGGCCCAGACUCCUACGGGAGGCAGCAGUGGGGAAUUUUCCGCAAUGGGCGAAAGCCUGACGGAGCUAGACCGCGUGAGGGAAGAAGGCCCUUGGGUCGUAAACCUCUUUUCUCGGGGAAGACCCCCGACGGUACCCGAGGAAUCAGCCUCGGCUAACUCCGUGCCAGCAGCCGCGGUAAUACGGAGGAGGCAAGCGUUAUCCGGAAUUAUUGGGCGUAAAGCGUUCGCAGGUGGCUUUUCAAGUCCGCGGUUAAAGCCCGGGGCUCAACCCCGGUUCGGCCGUGGAAACUGAAAGGCUAGAGCGCGGCAGGGGUAGAGGGAAUUCCCAGUGUAGCGGUGAAAUGCGUAGAGAUUGGGAAGAACACCGGUGGCGAAAGCGCUCUACUGGGCCGACGCUGACACUCAGGGACGAAAGCUAGGGGAGCGAAAGGGAUUAGAUAC
rnacentral:rRNA from 1 species